AGCAGCCGCGGUAAUUCCAGCUCCAAUAGCGUAUAUUAAAGUUGUUGCAGUUAAAAAGCUCGUAGUUGAAUUUCGAGAUCAAUUUGUUGGUCGUGCCUCGGUACGUACUGGCAAUUUUGAUUUCUCCCUUCUGAAGAACCAUGAUGUCAUUAAUUUGGUGUCAUGGGGAAUCAGGACCGUUACUUUGAAAAAAUUAGAGUGUUUAAAGCAGGCUCGCGCUUGAAUACAUUAGCAUGGAAUAAUGAAAUAGGACGUUUGAUUCUAUUUUGUUGGUUUCUAGGAUCGACGUAAUGAUUAAUAGGGAUAGUUGGGGGCAUUAGUAUUCAAUUGUCAGAGGUGAAAUUCUUGGAUUUAUUGAAGACUAACUACUGCGAAAGCAUUUGCCAAGGAUGUUUUCAUUAAUCAAGAACGAAAGUUAGGGGAUCGAAGACGAUCAGAUACCGUCGUAGUCUUAACCAUAAACUAUGCCGACUAGGGAUCGGAUGAUGUAAUUUUUAAUGA
rnacentral:rRNA from 1 species